rnacentral:lncRNA from 1 species
UGACAUUUCCUACCCCAAAUCUCAGCAAAAUGCCUUAACAGUUAGCUUCUGUCAAGGAUUAUGGCAGGCACCUGUCAAAUUAGCUCUCUAUUGCUACAGUCACAUCAGUACUCCCUGGUAGCCUACAGGGAGGAGACAGCACGCUGUUCCUUGCAGCCAGACCAGCUCUGGGCUAUCUUUUGAAUCCAGCACCAAGGGAGAAAUCUGUGCUGGGUUUCAAAACACCUCCUCAGCUACUGUGAAAGCGUUGUGCAAGGUUCACGGGAAAAGACAGCUUUUCUCUCUGUGGGAAGGUUGCCUCUCAGAGCGGGGGAGGCCUAUGCAGACACAGGACUCCCAGUGUAUUUGGUGGUGCUGACUUCUGAGGGAAUUCGGAGCAGGCUUGCAAGAGGAGAGGAAGAAGUAAUUGGAGGGAAGAAGACAGUUUUUAAGGCCUUCACUGGCAGUUGUCCCCCAGCU